rnacentral:lncRNA from 1 species
CAUUAACUCGGCCAAGGUUCACUGCAUCUUAUGCAUAUGAAAGUUCAUGAUGAACUGACCAUAUGCAUCGGACAAGGACUGAAGGAUCACAUCAAUCUAAAAAUCCUUGUCUAAGAUGAUACCGAGCUUCUCAAGCUCCUCAAGAUCCUUGAUCAUUGUCAAACAAUGAUCUUGGACUGACUGCCCAUCACACAUCUUGGCC